rnacentral:rRNA from 1 species
GACGAACGCUGGCGGCGUGCUUAACACAUGCAAGUCGAACGAAGAGCGAUGGAAGCUUGCUUCUAUCAAUCUUAGUGGCGAACGGGUGAGUAACGCGUAAUCAACCUGCCCUUCAGAGGGGGACAACAGUUGGAAACGACUGCUAAUACCGCAUACGAUCUAACCUCGGCAUCGAGGAAAGAUGAAAGGUGGCCUCUAUGUAUAAGCUAUCACUGAAGGAGGGGAUUGCGUCUGAUUAGCUAGUUGGAGGGGUAACGGCCCACCAAGGCGAUGAUCAGUAGCCGGUCUGAGAGGAUGAACGGCCACAUUGGGACUGAGACACGGCCCAGACUCCUACGGGAGGCAGCAGUGGGGAAUCUUCCGCUAUGGACGAAAGUCUGACGGAGCAACGCCGCGUGAGUGAUGACGGCCUUCGGGUUGUAAAGCUCUGUUAAUCGGGACGAAAGGCCUUCUUGCGAAUAGUGAGAAGGAUUGACGGUACCGGAAGAGAAAGCCACGGCUAACUACGUG